rnacentral:lncRNA from 1 species
CACUGGGAGACUGUUUCUCUGGUGCCAGCUGUGACCUAUUGUCAUUUUAGACAGUUUAACAACCGCCUGACCAUCACUUGAUGGUCACUUGACCCUCGUGGGCAGGGGCCCUCUCCUACCCUGCUCAGUGAUCUGCUUCAGGACAGAAGGGUAGAAAAGGAAAGUCAGAGAGACCUUCCUGCUUCUGCUGUUUUCUCAAAUGCCAUGGUGCCAUAUUUUGGGAUAGUGUGUCCUGAACUCCAUCAGCUGCUUCCUUCCAACCCUGAUAAUUACUCAAUUACAUGUUUCUGGAAUCCCCUCCAGUCUCACCAAGAGAGGAACACGACUAGUAGUUGCCAGUUUGUUUUUCCUGGGCCCUGUGGUCACAUCUGUUGCAGGUUACCAUUGUCUUCCCCUGUUGACUUUCUGCUGUCUCGAUGUGACUGUUGAUACAAAGUAGCUUUCAUUUCUAGUUCUUAUCAGUUUGCUCCUCAAUCUUAACAGUGUUUUCCCUGGGAGUAAACCAAGUCUCCUUCCAGCCUUGGAAGGAGGAUAUGAAGGUUGAGAGUUUGAGUUUACCAUACAGAAAUGUGCAGGGAGGGUCUGUGCAGGCCCACCCCUAGAUGGCUUGCCUGGUGGGCCCCUAAAUGUUAUAUCUGCAUCACAGAAGGACUCUGCAAAUGAGCUUCUCUUUCUGAUUAUUUAACCUACCUUUUCAGUGAUCUUAGCAAUUACUUAUGAGCUCUUUUACUUUUUUCAGUUUUGUCUGUUUUAUUAAAUCAAAAAA